rnacentral:tRNA from 1 species
UGAAAGCUAGUGAUUUGUCACAAAUGAAUUUGAAUCAUUAAACGGAGCCAAAAGACUCCGCUUUCAA